rnacentral:rRNA from 1 species
CACGUAGGGUGCGAGCGUUGUCCGGAAUUAUUGGGCGUAAAGAGCUCGUAGGCGGUGUGUCGCGUCGGCCGUGAAAACCUGCAGCUUAACUGUGGGCUUGCGGUCGAUACGGGCAUCACUGGAGUUCGGCAGGGGAGACUGGAAUUCCGUGGUGUAGCGGUGAAAUGCGCAGAUAUCAGGAGGAACACCGGUGGCGAAGGCGGGCCUCUGGGCC